rnacentral:lncRNA from 1 species
CAACUGCUUGGUUGAGAGCCACUGCUCUAGAUGGGUUCCCUCCUCUCCUGGCCUCGUGGAUGGACUUUUCUUCUUUAAGGAUUUGCCCAAAGUAACUGUAACCAUCCAAACCGCUACGGCUUACCCAGGGAGAGAUGACCUACUUUCAAACAAAAGCCAUGUCAGGCCCUGGUGAUUGCAAGGGUCCCUCGGGGGACUCCUAGGGCUCCCUGGAGCAGCUUCUCUUGUCUCACAGUAGAACGGCUGUCAUGGAUCUGCCAGGAAGGACUCUCGGAGGUGGGGCUCAGGAUUCCAGAUUUCAGGAAACAGCAAACAGCAGCAGCUGCGGAAAACAUUCAAGUUGAAAUUUUGAUCAUCUUUCUAUGAAAAUGAACUUGAAAGUAACCUGGAGGUCACGACCCGAGUUCUCGGCUGUCUUUGGAAAAUCACUUCUGCUAACGGGGCAGUCGUUCUUUAUCCAGGUUGCCAAUGUGACGUCACUGAAGGUGGAGAAUGGAAGAGACGUGCACAGUCAGCUUUCAGGAGAUCACACAGCAGCUCUCGCACACAACAGCAAGAAUGGACCACAUUGAGGGAGGAGCCAGAAACUCAAUAAACACUGGUGAAAGGCCA